UACAGAGGUCCCAAGCGUUGUUCGGAUUCAUUGGGCGUAAAGGGUGUGUAGGCGGUCUUCUAAGUUUGGUGUGAAAUCUCCCGGCUCAACUGGGAGGGUGCGCCGAAAACUGGGAGGCUAGAAUGCGGGAUGGGAGAGUGGAAUUCCUGGUGUAGCGGUGAAAUGCGUAGAUAUCAGGAGGAACACCUGUGGUGUAGACGGCUCUCUGGACCGCAACUGACGCUGAGACACGAAAGCGUGGGUAGCAAACAGG
rnacentral:rRNA from 1 species